rnacentral:rRNA from 1 species
UGCCAGACUCCUACGGGAGGCAGCAGUGGGGAAUAUUGGGCAAUGGGCGCAAGCCUGACCCAGCAACGCCGCGUGAAGGAAGAAGGCUUUCGGGUUGUAAACUUCUUUUAAGAGGGAAGAGAAGAAGACGGUACCUCUUGAAUAAGCCACAGCUAACUCCGUGCCAGCAGCCGCGGUAAUACGGAGGAUGCGAGCGUUAUCCGGAUUUAUUGGGUUUAAAGGGUGCGUAGGCGGAUCGUUAAGUCAGUGGUAAAUUGGGGGGGCUCAACCCCUCCCCGCCAUUGAAACUGGCGAUCUUGAGUGGAAGAGAAGUAUGCGGAAUGCGUGGUGUAGCGGUGAAAUGCAUAGAUAUCACGCAGAACCCCGAUUGCGAAGGCAGCAUGCCGGCUUCCGACUGACGCUGAAGCACGAAAGCGUGGGGAUCGAACAGGAUUAGAUACCCUUGUAA